rnacentral:rRNA from 1 species
CCUACGGGGGGCUGCAGUGGGGAAUCUUGCACAAUGGGGGAAACCCUGACGCAGCGACGCCGCGUGAGCGAAGAAGUAUUUCGGUUUGUAAAGCUCUAUCAGCAGGGAAGAAAAUGACGGUACCUGAGUAAGAAGCUCCGGCUAAAUAUGUGCCAGCAGCCGCGGUAAUACGUAUGGGGCAAGCGGUAUCCGGAUUUACUGGGUGGAAAGGGAGCGCAGGCGGCCUUGCAAGGCUGGUGUGAAAUACCGGGGCUCAACCCAGGGGAUGCAUUGGAAACUGUGAGGCUGGAGUGUCGGAGAGGCGGGCGGAAUUCCUAGUGUAGCGGUGAAAUGCGUAGAUAUUAGGAGGAACACCAGUGGCGAAGGCGGCCUGCUGGACGAUGACUGACGCUGAGGCUCGAAAGCGUGGGGAGCAAACAGGAUUAGAUACCCCAGUAGUC